GGCGCGAAACAUGAUUGUCAAGGGAGUUUGUGCAAUUACAAAACCCACAAUUAGCAAUAUCGCGACACCUCCAACAUUGACCCGAGCCACCACUGCAACAGUUGCUGACAGUGACACGAGCGAUGAAGACUUUUAGCCACAUCACGCAAAUCCCAAGAAGUUCAUCGAAUCCAGCUGUAAAUGGCGUUCUGUUUCGAAAAGUUGUGUGUAUUGUGUAUCUCAUAGGGUGUCCGAACAACAAAAUUUCCAACAUGGUCAUCACAUCAACUUAUCAUUUAAGCUAACUAUUCAACUAUUCUUAGACAUUAUUCUACACAGUUUUAAUGUUAGCAAAACAACUUUUUUAGUUGUAGUACAGUGU